UUAAUUAAUUGAUACUCUUCCUAGAUUAUCUUAUUAGAUACAAACAGGAGUAUUUUAACCUUAUUGUCAUUACAAAACAAGCAAAAAGUUUGAGUCGAAGAGACGAGGAAAAAUUAAGCUGAGACAAAUUUGGUCGUGAUCCCGGAGAAAAGAAUCUUUUACCAAAGGCUCAUUUUUCAUAUCAGCAGUUAUUAUUUUCUUUAAAACUGUGAUAGCAUCAAAAUAGGAAUAGAAAUUGAAAAUUUUCAUCCAAGUACAUGUGUAUUAACUGAUUGGAGACUCGAAAUCAUGGGCUCGUAGCUAUUUUUAUUGUCAACUUAAUUCAUCAGGUUCUCUUGGAGAAAUGAAAAUAUUAUCACAAUUAUGAUACAUUCCCUCCAGCUAAUUCUAGUCGUAAGGUUUGUGAUGUUAUUGCCCUAUUAUAGCACAUUCACACUCAGAUCUAUGUAUUGUCCUAUUUUUAUAGUCAAACUUUGUGAUGUUAUUGUCCUAUUUAUCACACAGAUCAGUUGGAUCAUAUUGUCUGACCUGACAACCAUAUGCUUUUAAGCUUUACUGGGAACAAGAUUUCAACUUUUCUUUCACUCUGUGAUGGAUCAGAAUCAUGUUCUCUGCCAUUCAUCCUAGUAAUUGGUCACUGAAUAGUUGGUCAGUCAGUACAGUCCUUGAGCAGGGCCUGCAUGAUUCAUUAAAGCAACUUGUGAAAGUGACAAGCCAGGCUUUCUCACCUAAUGCAUCUAUUUCCUCCCAAGUGAAGGUGCCACUCAAUAGUGUUCUUAACUUACUGAUGCAGCUGAAAAGCAAGUCCAUCAAUGAGAGAUUCCUGGUUUUUAGUUGAUCAUAUAAUCCAUGUAUGCUUUGUUAUCAUAUGGUUUCUUUUCAUGAUAACAUAAAUCAUGUUCAGAACUACACCCUUGAUUUUUCCACAUGGAAGAAUAUGGAAUAUAAGGAUCAGCUUUUUUUUCUUAUACUAUCUCCCUCUCCAUGUGCUUCAUAAACAAGUUAGGAGAGCAUAUCUUGCCUAGUUUUGUCUAUACAACUUAAAAAAAGUAUAUUUUAGAAUGUUCUUAAGCAAUCAUACAUGGACUAUGACCACUUGCUGUUCUAUUAUACUUUUUGGUGAACAGGUUGGCUAGUGGCAGACAAGGCUGACAGAUGAUGAGGGAAAUCAUCCUUAAAAGUGCCCCAUAUGUGAUCCUAUUCUUCCUGUAAGUAGCCAAGGAACAAUGGUAAUGAAAUGUUCUCAACCUAACACAAAACAAAGUCAUAGAUAACCCUAGAUUUGUUGCUGUGUGUGCUCAGCAGGAGAAUGGGCAAUAAAUAAUUACAUCAACUACUCCUUUUAUAUAAGAGAUAGUUAUCACAAUGUUCUUAAAAGUUAUUUGCCCAACUGAGUGCAAACAGAAGGUACCUUAAUAAUUGAGCACUUUAUAUCCUGUGAAUAGUUGCAGUUCUGGUGCACUUGUCCUUGGAUGUCUGCUCCAAGAUGGCUUUCUUGACCAAGAAAAGAUUAGCAAUGAGGACAUCCUAUGAUGAAUUCUCAGUAUCUUUUUCUCAAACUUGCCCCUGCCUCCCAUCUUCCUCUCUCCAAUACAUCUUCUACUUGAUACCAAUAGAGUAAAAGAAAC
rnacentral:lncRNA from 1 species